ACKGCUCAGUAACACGUGGCUAACCUGCCCUUGGGACGGAGUCAUUCCCAGGAGGCUGGGGUUAAUUUUUGAUAGGUGAAGUAGAGUGGAAUGAGUUUUCGCCCAAAAGUCGCUUAGAUCAUGCUUAUAGGUGUUGCCCAAGGAUGGGGCUGCGGCUGAUCAGGUUGUUGGUGAGGUAAUGGCUCACCAAGCCUUUAACCGGUACGGCCCGUGGGAGCGGUAGCCCGGAGAUGGGCACUGAGACAAGGGCCCAGGUCCUACGGGGCGCAGCAGUCGCGAAAACUUCGCAAUAGGAGAAAGCUUGACGGGGCCAUCCCGAGUGCCAUCUGCUGAGGAUGGCUUUUACCCAGUGUAGAUAGAUGGGGGAAUAAGGAGAGGGCUAGUCUGGUGUCAGCCACCGCGGUAAUACCAGCUGUCCGAGUUGUGGGGACGUUUAUUGGGCUUAAAGCAUCCGUAGCCGGCUGGUCAAGUCCUUUGUUAACCCCAGCGAUUAAUCGUUGGCCUGCGGGGGAUUCUGUCCGGCUAGGGGGCGGGAGAGGCCGUCGGUAUUCUCGGGGUAGGGGUGAAAUCCUAUAAUCCCGGGAGGACCACCAGUGGCGAAGGCUGUCGGGUAGAACGCGCCCGACGGUGAGGGAUGAAACCUGGGGGAGCGAGCCGGAUUAGACAUCCGGGUAGUCCCAGCUGUAACCGAUUCUGGCUAGGUGUUGAAGCGGGUACGAUCCCCUUCAGUGCCGCAGGGAAGCCAUUAAGCCAACCGCCUGGGGAGUGCGGCCGCAAGGCUGAAAGUUAAAGGAAUUGGCGGGGGASCAC
rnacentral:rRNA from 1 species